rnacentral:rRNA from 1 species
UGGGGAAUUUUGGACAAUGGGCGAAAGCCUGAUCCAGCAAUGCCGCGUGUGUGAAGAAGGCCUUCGGGUUGUAAAGCACUUUUGUCCGGAAAGAAAUCCUUGGCUCUAAUACAGUCGGGGGAUGACGGUACCGGAAGAAUAAGCACCGGCUAACUACGUGCCAGCAGCCGCGGUAAUACGUAGGGUGCAAGCGUUAAUCGGAAUUACUGGGCGUAAAGCGUGCGCAGGCGGUUUGCUAAGACCGAUGUGAAAUCCCCGGGCUCAACCUGGGAACUGCAUUGGUGACUGGCAGGCUAGAGUAUGGCAGAGGGGGGUAGAAUUCCACGUGUAGCAGUGAAAUGCGUAGAGAUGUGGAGGAAUACCGAUGGCGAAGGCAGCCCCCUGGGCCAAUACUGACGCUCAUGCACGAAAGCGUGGGGAGCAAACAGGAUUAGAUACCCUGGUAGUCCACGCCCUAAAACGAUGUCAACUAGUUGUUGGGGAAUUCAUUUCCUUAGUAACGUAGCUAACGCGUGAAGUUGACCGCCU